UUCUUCGUAGCCUCCAGUUUUUUCUGAAAAGCCUAAAGAUUCUAAAAGAAGAAAAAUUUCCUUGCCUUACCGAGACGCAUUCCCAGAAAGUGAGAAAAGUUCUCCGGAAAUGUGGAAAAAAUAUCUUUUAGAGGUUAAAAGUUUAUUGGGUGUUACAGAAGAUUAUGCUAAGUUUUGUACUGCUGUGAAAGAAUUUAAAGUUUCUAAGGAUGUGGAAAAAUUUGCUUUCUGUAUGACAACUGUUUUUUCUCAGUUUCCCAAUAAAUCUAAAUAUUUAGAAACUGCAUCUUUACUAGUUGGUAGUCAGAAUAGAAGCAAAUUUCUCAGAUUAUGUUCCUGAUAACUGGUAUUUUUAGGAAAGAAAUUGCAGCAUGUGAUAGAUCACUUAAAAUACUGCUGACUUUUAAAGAGUGUUGUCGGAAAUGUGGCUGGACCACUGCAAUAUAUUUUAUAAUAGACUUAAAUUCAUUUUUAAAAUAAAUCAUAUUUUGUAUAUAUUUUUGUAUAUAAUAAAAUUGUAAAAUUUUUUCA